GCCAGACUCCUACGGGAGGCAGCAGUGAGGAAUAUUGGUCAAUGGGCGCGAGCCUGAACCAGCCAAGUCGCGUGAGGGAGGACGGCCCUACGGGUUGUAAACCUCUUUUGCCGGGGAGCAACGGGCGUCACGUGUGGCGCCACUGAGAGUACCCGGAGAAAAAGCAUCGGCUAACUCCGUGCCAGCAGCCGCGGUAAUACGGAGGAUGCGAGCGUUAUCCGGAUUUAUUGGGUUUAAAGGGUGCGUAGGCGGAUCUUUAAUUCAGAGGGUAAAUGGGGGGGCUCACCCCCUCCCCGCCAUUGAAACUGGCGCUCUUGAGUGGAAGAGAAGUAUGCGGAAUGCGUGGUGUAGCGGUGAAAUGCAUAGAUAUCACGCAGAACCCCGAUUGCGAAGGCAGCAUGCCGGCUUCCGACUGACGCUGAAGCACGAAAGCGUGGGGAUCGAACAGGAUUAGAUACCCGCGUAC
rnacentral:rRNA from 1 species